AGAAAGGUGUCAGUCAGACUCUGGAAGUUCUCCUGUCAAUGGAUAUUAUUUCUUGUAUAUCUUACCCAUGAAUUAGAAUAAAUCUGAAUUUUCUUAUCAUUUCUCUUUACAGUACUUCAACUUCCCCAGAACCAUCCAGCUUCUCAUGUUUUGUGUUUGUUUAUUAUUUCCUUUGGUACUGGGGCCUUGCCUGCUACUAGAACCUUGUAUGUACUACACAAGUGCUCCAACUCACCAGGCCGUGAACUUGAUGUGUUGUCCAGGCUGGCCUAGAGCUUACAGUCUUCCUGCGUGGGCCUCCUCAGUGCCAGGGUUGCAGUCAUGAGCUUCCCGUGUGCUUAACAUCAGCUUAUAUUUUUCCUUCCCUCCUUUCCUUCCUAAUUGGUGUGGUGUGGGGUGUGUGUGUGUGUGUGUGUGUGUGUGUGUGUGUGUGUGUGUGUGUCCGUCCGUGUGUGACUAAUGGUGGAAGCAACCCUUUCUUUUAUUAUUCAAACCUUCUGCCACUGAACCAUAUCUCCUUUAGUACUAACUUCAAACACCUUUUCUGCUUUUAUUUUCAGUUUCUAGAUUUUGUUUUUUUCUGAGUCUUACUUUCUCACUGAAACUUUUGUUUCCUCAUGAUAAGGUACCCUGUUGUCACCUCCCCUUCUCUUCCUCCCCCUCCAGAGCACAGCUCACUGGCCGCUUCAAGCCUUGUGCUGGCUUACUUUGUUUGUAGGGGCUAUUAUAAAAGCUAAUUCUUCAAAAUUAAAAUUUUAAAUUAGGAAGUGUUGUAUUCCAGCCCAACAAAAUACAUGUCUAUAACCCCAGCCUCUAGGAGGCAAGGCUAACUGGGGCCCAAGGAUUGCCAGGAAUUGACAGCCAGCCCGAGCUACAUAACAAGACCCUGUCUCUAAAGAUGGAAAGAAAACACUUUUGAUAUUUUAAUCUGAUACAUUGUUUGGAGGAGUAUUUAUAUGAACAUGUAUCUGUGGUUAGUAGUUAUUUUAUUGUCUGUGAUACAGAAUGUCUAAGCCCCAUGUUUACUUAAUGAGCCAGCUCUUACUUUCUUAUCUCGGCAAACAACCCUGUCGUUAAGUGAUUUUUCUGACAGUCAAGCUCAAGAUUCUCUGUCUGAAUAGUUGGAAAAUAUUCUUCUAAGCGUGUGAAAUUGCUGUCUUGGGGGGAAAUAACCACAUGUUAGCAACUUAUGAUAACACUUAAGUUACAUAAGCUCUUCACCAAGUCUGUGUUUGAUUUUCAAGCUUUUAUAAGCUGACAUACUGUCACAGUGUCAAAGGAACAGUCAAUAAAUACCAUUUAGAGGUGAUAAUCCCCCAGGGUGAUAUGCACUCCAUUUCUGCUAACUACAGAGAUUUAUCCUCCAAAAAAAAAAAAAAACCAUGUUAUACAGUCAACACAUUUUCUAUAAGUUUUCAUCUAAGAUUUUCUUUAUACUUACAGUUUUGGUUAUGGGAACAAAGGUAUAGAAAUAUAAACACACAGAUAAGAAUAUGAAACUCCUAACCAGGAAAUUCCCGGUUUUAUGGUCCAAAUAGGUAUAAAACUAGGUUGUUUCAAACUCAGACUAAUUUGUCCCAUAUUGCUGUGAGUAACUAAGAUUGUUCCUAGAAAUUACUCAGCACCCAUUAUACUCUUGGCGUUGUUCUGGGUCUUAGUUUUUGAUGGAUUCUUGUGUUAGACAAAGGUACUUCGAUUUCAGUAGAGACUUGGUACACUUCUUCCUCAGUGAUGCCCUAAGUGAGCCCUAAUUUAUCUGAUAUGUUCCCCAAAUGCUCACCCUGAAACCUUUCUAAUUUUCUACUCAUCCCAGCCGCUUCAAGCAAUAGGAAGAAGCAAAUUCAGAAAAUUCAUAUUAAAUUAUCAUUGACUAUAGUCUUAUUAUCUUGCUGAAAGAGAACCAAUCAUAUAAACAUUGACAGCUCCGCUCAGUGACAGGAAAUUUACAGGUGAAUACUGUCCACGCUUGCUCAAAAAACACUUUCCCUGUUUUCUGUUGACAAUUUUCCAAGGAAUUUGGAGGUAGGAAAACUACUCCUUUUUCAUUAUUCUGAAACUUAUUUUUAAAUAACUGGUAUUUGGCAAUUUAGUUUUUAAAACACCAUUCUGAAUUAAAUUGCUGAGGUGACUAAAUUCUAAAACUAACCUCGUUUUAUCAUACAGACAUCUAGUUAGAAAGUGUUUGUGGUGAAGACUUGUAUCUUGUGGCAUUAGUUCUUCAUGUUUCUUCUCCAUACGUCGGCUAAAGCAGUUCAUUUCCAGCUGAGUGGAAAGUUGCUGUUGUUGGUCUGUGUGGGCAAGCACACCCAGUUACAGCACGAGCAGUAACUUCACGGUAGCUGGCUGUGCUUUGCACUCUGCUGUUGUAGAUUUAUUCUGUUUACAGUAGACUGAUGUCAGUUUUGUAAAUGUUUUUCUUAGCACUUUAACUGUGAGUGUAAAAACUGAUUUUAAAUGUAGUGGUUGUAUAUUUUGGUUAUAAAUUGGAAAUUUUUAAUAAAACUAAAUAACUUGUUC